GUUAUUGGUAAUCUUGCUUGGCUGCAGGAUAAUUAUAAGUUGAAUAUUGGAACCAACAUGAAGUUAAAUGCUGAUGAAAAAAAAAUUGCCCAUUAGUGAAGCUGCUUCACUUUUCACGUUAACCAUCAAUUUCUAGGCCAGUUGCUUCCGAACUUGAUCUUAUAUGCUGGGGUAAAGAACACACAGGAGUUGCUGGCAAUCCACAGAGCCAUAAGCCACUUCCGACACUUGCUAGAAGAAUGACAAGUCUUGGUUCUGACAGCCCAUCAACCAUUGAUACAUGCUUUCAACAAAAGCGUAGAUGGGUGGUCACCAAGACAACGUCGUCACCUAUCGUUGAUAGCCAAACACUUCUCCACCAUGAUAUACUUGAAGGGCUCCUCCAACAUCAUAGCAGAUGCCCUUCCUCAAAACUCCAUCAACAAGAUCCAGAUCGGGAUAUAUCCCGAAAUGGCAUUAACUCUAAAGGAUGACAAGGACCAACAGACUUCAGCAGGAGAACCUCACCUUAUGUGGUGGGACCCAAGGAUCAACAAUGCUGGAGAGACAACCAUUCCCUGCGAGAGACUACUAGUACCAGUCGCCCUCACCCGUAUCUAGCAUUAGGGUCAAGGAAGAAAGCCUUCAACCUCGCCCACAACCGGUCCCACCCGUCUGCCAGAUACACCAACCAAAACUGUUGGGGUGGCACAUCUAGAGGGGGAAUAAAUGCAGACAUCAAAAAGUGGGCAGUAGAAUCCCUUCCAUGCUAAACAUCAAAAUUAUCAAGGGGCACAAACAGUAAUAUGAAUGUUCCAGACAACACCACAAUGCCUGGACCACAUCCACAUAGGUAUCCCUUCAAGCUCAUCAACAGGAACACCAGAUGGCUGGAAGCAAUACCAGUGAGACAGUAGAAAAUUGUGCAAGAAAAGGAAUUACUGGGACUGAGAAUAGUGUUAGCAAAACUGGCGGACUUCUGUCAAACCCAACAGAGGUGACAACUCUUCCAGACAACUGUAGAGUAUAAGAAAAAAUACAGACGGGGAAGAUGACAUAAAACAUAGCAAGUAAAGAAUAGGAGAUAUAGCAUACUGCAAAAGAGAAAGUUUAUUAGCAAUUGUAACCUAGGUGAUCAUUUUCACUUAUAUUUUUAUAAACUUUUAUAAAACAAGCUGCUUAAUUGUAAAAUUAGGAAAUGUUAA